GUUAACUGCCAUCGACGAACUCAUGUGGCUGGAUCUGGAGCACCCGGAUCCCUCUGCAGUUUCUGGCAAGGAUUUGACUCAACGGAGCUGUUUUCUCGAAAAUUUAAUGCAUUCGAUGAAAAAAGAAGGGGCUUCCACGAAGGAUUCGGCGCUCUUAUUGGGGGCAACAUGUGCUCCAGUUCCUUGAUGUUCCCCAUUACAUGUGCUUGCAACAUUAGCGUAAUGCUAUCUGCAGUGGAUGCCACUUUGAAAAGCCAUUAUCCUAAUUGUUUAUUAUGGAUUUUGAUCGGAUACUGUGCUAGCGUAAUGUCUGCGUUUUACGAUCUAAUCUUCCGGGCCUACACAGAUCCACAUUAAUGACCCGCAAUAAAAACGCCAUAAAUGAGCCAAGGGACAGGUGUUGAUAAGCGAGUGUUGGUAUCGUUACAAUUGUACAUGAGUGAAGUGUGAAAUGCUCGGGGAACUGGAGUUGAACCCGUGUGAGGUGACCCCACCUCUGAACCUGCUGAAUUUGACCUGCAGCUCUGAUAUUGACAAUUAAGAGCGGCAUGCAAUUUGAACAAUUUGCGGCACGGAGACUUGAUUGGCAUGCUGUGACCUCGCUUUGCGGAUUCACCAACUCCACGUUGUCAUGGCGAGCAGCUGGCCAACUCAAUUUGAUUGCAAUUUGGCCACAACACUCGGACUUGCAGCGCAGUUAAAUAGAGAAAUAUUACAAACAAAUUGAGAAGAAUAUUACCAGCUCGGUUUAGGUGGUACAAUUGACCCAAGAAGAACUUCCAUCAAAAAGAAUCAUAAUAUAUGUUAUGAAACGUAU